rnacentral:lncRNA from 1 species
CUUUAAAGCCGAUCGUUGUGUAUAAAUAUGAAACAAGACAGCGUAUUAUUUCAGUGUUUCUUUAUUGAUUACACUUUUUAUUAUACUAAGCAAAGUUAUUUGCAUGGGAGAAUUUGGAAUCAUUUUAUUUCGAACUCAAAGUUUAUCGAUAAAAGCAGUUUAGUUCUAUAGUAAAAGAACAUUUUAAAACGUUUUGCGAAGCGUUUGUGGUUGAAUUUUACCUUAAAUUCAAGCUUAUAUUACGUAUAAUAACAUAGCUAACAUAUAUAUGUUUAGGAAAUUGAUAAUUUUGUAAUUAAAAGUGAUAUUUAUAGGGGAUUUUUCAUUUGUAAAAAUAGUCUUAAAAAAUUAUCGUGUUACCAUGACAACUACUUAAAAUACAUCACGUUCGGAAAAUAAAAUGGUUUUGUCAGCAAGGCGAGGGUUUCUGCAUGCAUGUAUUUUCUAGUAGUAUUAUACUCUGUCUUAAAUGCCAGGUGAAUUUACUUGUCAGAGAGGGAUCGAAAGCUGGCACUCAAUUGGUCAAUCAGACUAUUUGCCUAGUUAUUAAGUUUUCGUUGGUAGGGAUGCAACUAUAUAUACCUGAAAAAUAUAUUAAGGAGAAGUUUGACUUUUCAAGCAGGAAUUCAGUUUAUAUAGGCUACCCCCUUCCUUGGAAUUUCCUAGGAAUUCUCUGCCACGCCACAAGUUGUUUAAGCCCUUGGGCUAAAAAUUAAAAGUUAAUGCCCCACAAACACUCAAGAGUCAAGGCCGUCAUCGAUUGUUCAAAUCAGAAUAAUUAGCGCUAACCGGGCGCUUGGUUAGAAUUUAGCUCGUUUUGGUUUGUGUAUUUCUGCAUGUUCAUUCAUUUCAAAACUUUAUCCAGACAUAUGAUUUCUGAAAAAAAACUUAAAUGAUUAAGCUAACCAGCUUUUGAACAACCGGCCAAAGGAGAUGAAAAAAUAUUUUGAUGUACCUUCUACAACUGCAACUUGAAUCAGUUUAUUUUAAAUGCGGUAAAAAGUGCAUUAGUUUAACAUUGAUCUAUAUAUUAUAGCAUUAUAGUCCUUUUGUCUUGGUCAUAUAAGGUUUUUUAUUUGAUUUUUUUGUCUUUGCAGAUGCAGCACAAUGUCAAAGUUUUAGUAAGAAUUCCAUGAAUGAUUUUUAUGAAUGGUUUAAUGGUUUAAUGAUUAUCAUGAAUGGCUUAAUGAAGUUUUAGAUGAACAUUGAGUAAACUGUACAAUCAUAUUUUUUAAAAGGUCAGUCAACAGAGAAUCAGGAGAAUCGAGAGGAUAAUGUUAUUAAAUUUUAAAGGUAUUGCAUGUCUAUUAAUACUCUAUGUUGCAGUCAAUUGUUUGUUAUUUAUAUAAUCUGUUACUGUUAAUCUGAACAUAUGAUAUAAACCUAUUGAAGUGUCAAAGUCAUGUAUUUCUCUAUUUAGGAAAAUGUCAUAAUUGUGGCCUUUCUGGCCAACAAGACUUCAGUUGCACAAAACGUAUGUGUUUUCUUUUAAUUUAUCUUUUCAAAAAAUGUAACAGAAAGACAUUCAAAGACUAAUAUCCUACCUUGUAUACUACCUAUGGGCUAUAACUAGGUUUAGGGGAGUCACUAGUUAGUUUCUAAUCACCACUGCUUGUUAAUAUAAAUUGGAGUUAAAAUAGUAAAUUUUAUUUCUUUUUCUGCGUUUACAGCUUACAAUCGUGAUCAUGCAAGCAAGUAUAAGUUUAGAAAAUGUUGUGUUUUUUUUGUAUUGUAAUACGACUACUAGUAAUUAAAUUCAGAUUACAUGUAAAAUGCUUUGAUUCUGUCUUGCAGGAAGAAGAUGUUAUCAAUGUGGGAAGCCAGGCCACAUUGCAAGAAAUUGUUAUAAAAAAAGAAUGGGCCUGGCAUGAAUGCAGUUUUAACAAACUACACCAAUUGCACUUUUACUGUGACAACAGGCAAUUUACCCAACGAAAACUAACCCAUGUGUACAUGAUAGUAACUUUAACUUCAGGUUUCAAUUCCUUUAAUUAAUUUUCAUGUGUACAAAUACCAAUCCGACAUGAAUCAGUUGCUACUUAUUACUUAAGACUUAGUCAAACUCAUCUAGGCACAUUGUUUUACACUUCAAAAAGUAACCAGGUUAAAAUUCAUCUGUACAUAUCCUGGUUAGUUUUCAUUGGGUAAAUUGCUUGCAAUAUUGUUACACAGUCAUGCAAUAUUGCACUUAUUCAAAGAAUAAAAUGUUUUAAAAGGGCAAAUCUUGGUUUAAUUAAGCUAGCUUUUAGAAGGAAAUACAGAGCUUUCCAAUUCAAUAUAUGGUGAACAAGCCAUAUUGACUCAGUCCACUUAGUCAAGUACAAUUAUGAUGCAACUCUUCUUUUGGUAGACAUUUAAGUCUAAAGUCUUAUAGAGUGAACUAAUGGUUUGAAUUAUUAAAUUUCAUGUUGCAAAUAUUGGAAACCAUUUGCAUUUAAAAAUAAAAAAAAUAAUUAUAUCAAAACAUGGAAAGCAUAUAAUCAUGUGUAAAUGAAUGGCACUGAACUAAUUCAACUAAAUGCAAUAUACUGUAAGUACAAAUAACUUGGUCAAACUUGUUAUGUGUUACGUUUCUUAAUUAUUUUGGCACAUGAAAGGACAAUACUGUCCAAAACUUCUCUUAUUAAUUAAUUAAUGCAUAAAUGAAACAAUUGCUUGGUUUGAUAUUUUAAGUGAAUAUAGUGCAAUAUUUCCAUACUGUUUAUUUUCCAAUUUAAAUAAAUGUUAUUGUAUUUCUUAUUCAAAUAUUCAUUCAAAUUUUCAAUGAUAUAUAAAUACUUGUG